UAUAGAAUAGUGUAUAGUGCACAUAGGCUUUUGACACCUAAAGAUUUAGUUCAAUUCUUUUUUCUAUAG
rnacentral:tRNA from 1 species